rnacentral:rRNA from 1 species
UACGUAGGUGACGAGCGUUAUCCGGAAUUACUGGGCGUAAAGCGCACGCAAGCGGUUGGACAAGUCUGGCGUGAAAUCUCCUGGCUUAACUAGGAGCGGUCGCUGGAAACUGUCGAGCUUGAGGCGAUGAGAGGGGUGCAGAAUUCCCGGUGUAGCGGUGAAAUGCGUAGAUAUCGAGAGGAACACCUGAGGUGAAGACGGGUUGCUGGGCCGACACUGACGCUGAGUGCGCGAAAGCCAGGGGAGCAAACGGG